rnacentral:rRNA from 1 species
UACGUAGGGACGAGCGUUGUCCGGAAUCAUUGGCGUAAAGAGCGUGUAGGCGGCCUACUUAAGUCCUGCGUGAAAUACUUCGGCGGCUACCAACCGGCAAGCGGUCGUGGGAAACUGGGUGGCUAGAGUGCGGGAGAGGAGGAGUGGAAUUCCUGGUGUAGCGGUGGAAUGCGCAGAUAUCAGGAGGAACGACCGGCUGGCGAAGGCGGGUCUCUCGGGCAACAACUGACGCUGAGGACGAAAGCGUGGGGAGCGAACAGG